CAGACCACGACAAAAGAUGUUGGCCUUUCAGCACCAGGAAGUGGGAGUGGACUUGUGGCACUUUGUUGCUGUUGUUGCGGCGAUGGCGUAAUGGACUCCAUUCUAUAGUGGGCAGCAAGCUGCAGAGCAACAAAACGAAACUGGAUAUCACCCAGAAGAACGAAGAGGAAAAGAACACCAGGACCUUGCAGCCGAGGCACUGUGACUAGGAAACAGACCCACAAAAACCUAAAAAACGCCUCCAUCCCCUGGAGGUUCUGAGGACGCCACGGCAGCCGCUUCUUUCUUCUUGGCUGAAGCCGAACCAGCAAGCUGCUUCUCUUUUGCUUUUUUCACCACCUUCCCUGAUGUCGUCGUCGCCGCUUUCUUCUUUGGCCUGGUGCGAGACGCUCCCUUGUCGGUCUGGAAGGAAACACGAAGCCGAUGAAGGUCAUGACAUGAGGACGUUUUAGUUCCUAGCCUCUAUAGAAAAAAAAAUGUGCAAGCUCUGUUUUGAGCAUGCGUCCCUUGUUAUUCCUACUUAGAACAAGCAAGAGGCACCGUCAGGUGUCAUAUAAGUUCAUGGUGGUUAGUGUCAUGGCAAU